AAGCAGACAGAGCAAGACCAGAAAAGUAACCUAGGUCCGUUCCCACAGGACUGCAUCAAUCGCAGUCCGACAGUAACCUCAGCACAAGGAAUUUCUGGACUUGGACUGUUGGAGAAAAAAUGCCAUUACAAAACAAAAGCACAUUGAACUGACAAUUUCUGACAUUGAUUGUUUUGAACAAUUUGAUAAGGACAUACAGACAGCUUCAAAGGGACGGAGAAACUGAAAGCUGAUGAAAUGCGAAGGACAAGGAUGAAACGGUGCACCAUGCUGUUGAAAAGUGAAAAGUGCAAAUAAAAGAAAAAUGGAG